rnacentral:misc_RNA from 1 species
ACCAUUUCAGGAGAUGUCGUCGAUGGUGUUAGUUUACUUCGUUGUUGUGUGCUGAUUUGCUUUGAUUUGUGGUCAAAUCUGAUUCGCUUCUUUGAGCUCGCCGAUUCUUCGGAGUUCGUGGCUUCUUAUUGCUGGUGUGUUGGAGAAAGAAGAGAAAGAAAUGAGUUGUUUGGUUGUUGUUUGUGGUGGUUUCACCGGAGCGAAGUGGGGAUGAGAUUGUUUGAUGGUUGUCUUAGUGUGGUUCUCUAUCGGUGGAUGGUGGUGGCACUUUAAGAUUAAUAGGAGGAGAGAAAGAUUAGGGUUCUACCCAAUUUAGAAAUUAGUCCUAAA